rnacentral:lncRNA from 1 species
UGCGGGUGCUGGGAAGGGGGUGGGACCUUGCCUAUACUUCAAGACAACAGCUCAGACCUCACCCUGGGGAAGUGUUCCUGGGAGAAGGGGUGAAGCUUCCUGGCCAGGGAGGCUGGCAGGGGGCCAGGGUGGCAGCCAGGCCUGGAGAGUCACUUCUCUCUGGGCUGGGAAGGCCUCGAUGAGUCCACUGCCUGACCACCCAUGGACAUCCGCUCUCUGGCGUGCCUGACAGAUGAGAGAAGGGACCCACAGCCUGCGGGAAAGGAGCAUCUCAGCCUGAGAACCCACGGACCUGGGUCUAGGGUUUGUUCUGCCUGAAGGGGCAAUUUCCUUUCCUUCUCUGAGCCCUGAGUGCCCCAUCUGUAAAAUGGGGGCAGCCCCUCUCCUGCUGACCUCCAGGGUUGCUAGAGGAACAAAUAGGUCUAUUCUACAAAAAGGUGUUCUGAUAUGAAGCCAUAGCUAAUGUGAGCAUUGUUGUUCCGAUUUGUUGUGGCAUCAGGACUGGUCUAGCAUGCCUCCAGCCCUCCCUCCAGGGACCCAGGAAUUUCUUUUUUUCUUUCUUUUUUUUUUUUUUUUUGAGACAGGGUCUUGCUCUGUCACCCAGGCUGGAGUGCAGUGGCACAACCUCGGCUCACUGCCACCUCCGCCUCCCGGGUGCAAGUGAUUCUCCUGACUCAGCCUCCCAAGUAGCUGGGA